rnacentral:sRNA from 1 species
CACACUGGUAUAGAUUACGCUGGCCC